rnacentral:rRNA from 1 species
GGGUGCCCCUUAUACAUGCAAGUCGAACGAACUCUGGUAUUGAUUGGUGCUUGCAUCAUGAUUUACAUUUGAGUGAGUGGCGAACUGGUGAGUAACACGUGGGAAACCUGCCCAGAAGCGGGGGAUAACACCUGGAAACAGAUGCUAAUACCGCAUAACAACUUGGACCGCAUGGUCCGAGUUUGAAAGAUGGCUUCGGCUAUCACUUUUGGAUGGUCCCGCGGCGUAUUAGCUAGAUGGUGGGGUAACGGCUCACCAUGGCAAUGAUACGUAGCCGACCUGAGAGGGUAAUCGGCCACAUUGGGACUGAGACACGGCCCAAACUCCUACGGGAGGCAGCAGUAGGGAAUCUUCCACAAUGGACGAAAGUCUGAUGGAGCAACGCCGCGUGAGUGAAGAAGGGUUUCGGCUCGUAAAACUCUGUUGUUAAAGAAGAACAUAUCUGAGAGUAACUGUUCAGGUAUUGACGGUAUUUAACCAGAAAGCCACGGCUAACUACGUGCCAGCAGCCGCGGUAAUACGUAGGUGGCAAGCGUUGUCCGGAUUUAUUGGGCGUAAAGCGAGCGCAGGCGGUUUUUUAAGUCUGAUGUGAAAGCCUUCGGCUCAACCGAAGAAGUGCAUCGGAAACUGGGAAACUUGAGUGCAGAAGAGGACAGUGGAACUCCAUGUGUAGCGGUGAAAUGCGUAGAUAUAUGGAAGAACACCAGUGGCGAAGGCGGCUGUCUGGUCUGUAACUGACGCUGAGGCUCGAAAGUAUGGGUAGCAAACAGGAUUAGAUACCCUGGUAGUCCAUACCGUAAACGAUGAAUGCUAAGUGUUGGAGGGUUUCCGCCCUUCAGUGCUGCAGCUAACGCAUUAAGCAUUCCGCCUGGGGAGUACGGCCGCAAGGCUGAAACUCAAAGGAAUUGACGGGGGCCCGCACAAGCGGUGGAGCAUGUGGUUUAAUUCGAAGCUACGCGAAGAACCUUACCAGGUCUUGACAUACUAUGCAAAUCUAAGAGAUUAGACGUUCCCUUCGGGGACAUGGAUACAGGUGGUGCAUGGUUGUCGUCAGCUCGUGUCGUGAGAUGUUGGGUUAAGUCCCGCAACGAGCGCAACCCUUAUUAUCAGUUGCCAGCAUUAAGUUGGGCACUCUGGUGAGACUGCCGGUGACAAACCGGAGGAAGGUGGGGAUGACGUCAAAUCAUCAUGCCCCUUAUGACCUGGGCUACACACGUGCUACAAUGGAUGGUACAACGAGUUGCGAACUCGCGAGAGUAAGCUAAUCUCUUAAAGCCAUUCUCAGUUCGGAUUGUAGGCUGCAACUCGCCUACAUGAAGUCGGAAUCGCUAGUAAUCGCGGAUCAGCAUGCCGCGGUGAAUACGUUCCCGGGCCUUGUACACACCGCCCGUCACACCAUGAGAGUUUGUAACACCCAAAGUCGGUGGGGUAACCUUUUAGGAACCAGCCGCCUAAGGUG